rnacentral:rRNA from 1 species
GGAAUCUUCCACAAUGGGCGCAAGCCUGAUGGAGCAACACCGCGUGAGUGAAGAAGGGUUUCGGCUCGUAAAGCUCUGUUGUUAGAGAAGAACGUGCGUGAGAGCAACUGUUCACGCAGUGACGGUAUCUAACCAGAAAGUCACGGCUAACUACGUGCCAGCAGCCGCGGUAAUACGUAGGUGGCAAGCGUUAUCCGGAUUUAUUGGGCGUAAAGCGAGCGCAGGCGGUUUGAUAAGUCUGAUGUGAAAGCCUUUGGCUUAACCAAAGAAGUGCAUCGGAAACUGUCAGACUUGAGUGCAGAAGAGGACAGUGGAACUCCAUGUGUAGCGGUGGAAUGCGUAGAUAUAUGGAAGAACACCAGUGGCGAAGGCGGCUGUCUGGUCUGCAACUGACGCUGAGGCUCGAAAGCAUGGGUAGCGAACA